rnacentral:rRNA from 1 species
AGCAGCCGCGGUAAUUCCAGCUCCAAUAGCGUAUAUUAAAGUUGUUGCAGUUAAAAGCUCGUAGUUGAAUUUCGGGAUCAGUUGAUCGGUCGUGCCUCGGUACGUACUGGUCAAAUUGAUUCCUACCUUCUGACGAACCACGAUGUCAUUAAUUUGGUGUCGCGGGAAAUCAGGACUGUUACUUUGAAAAAUUGAGUGUUUAAAGCAGGCUCGCGCUUGAAUACAUUAGCAUGGAAUAAUGAAAUAGGACGUUUGAUUCUAUUUUGUUGGUUUCUAGGAUCGACGUAAUGAUUAAUAGGGAUAGUUGGGGGCAUUAGUAUUCAAUUGUCAGAGGUGAAAUUCUUGGAUCUAUUGAAGACUAACUACUGCGAAAGCAUUUGCCAAGGAUGUUUCAUUAAUCAAGAACGAAAGUUAGGGAUCGAAGACGAUCAGAUACCGUCGUAGUCUUAA